CACCUUUUCAUUCCCUCUCCUCUGUACAGAAGUCUCCCCAUCGCCACCAGCAUUCCAGUUGGACCUCAGGAGCCUAAAGGAUUUUGGAUGAUCGUCUCCCAUGCUCAGAUGCUCGGCCUCAGGCCUCAGUGUUUGACAGAAAUCAGUGAUUUUUCAGAGAACUGGAAGGUGCCCACAACUGACACUAGUGUAUUUUUUGUCACUUCAUAACACCCAUGGACAGUCCUCUGCUUUUCCAUACAAGAGGAAGCUCAGGAAUGCUUUGCUUCAUUCUAGGUCAGGCUGCCUGCAGAUAGAGACCCUUUCCUCUGCUGCCUUAUUGCCAGUUACAUUAAAUACAGUAGAUGACAAGAGUUUAUUAAUACUGUACUGUAGUCAACAUCUGUGCGAGUGCAUACAAUGACCUUCAUGCAGAAAAAGAUUCCAUUGAGCCUAUAGAUAGCAGUGAUUCCCUUAGUGAUAGUGAAAGUCAUCCUACACAAUAAGCCUCCUGUCUCUUGUCUCCCUCACACCAGCCAUGAAGGUUUUCAAAGGUAAGUGCAGGUUAACUUGUUUAUUUUUUUAUUUUGGAUUGUCUUUAUUAUUUUGUGUUGUAUUACACUAUUUUUUAAUGUUUAUUUAUUUUUGAGAGACAGAGCACAAAUUGAGAAGGGGCAGAGAGAGAGACACAGAAUCCAAAGCAGGCUCCAGGCUCUGUGCUUUCAGCAGAGAGCUAGACGUGGGGCUCGGACUCGUGAACUGUGAGGUCAUGACCUGAGCCGAAGUCAGACACUUUACCGAUGGAGCCACCCAGCCAGUUCACUCUCUGGCCAAUUCGGUCUCACUUUGGCACCUGCCGGCCCUGAAUGCUGAGGUUCCUGGCAGGUCUCUGCUGCAAAAAGACUUCUCUGUGCCUCAGCAGACUCCAGGCCAACUCCAACGCCCGGACCCCAAUCACCUUGGGAAGCCCAAGGAAGCAAGUCCUCGGGCUCUGGCUCACAACAACACUGCACAACUAGAGGAAUGAAGGUGUGUUCAGUGUAGGAAGAGUUGGAGUUCUGCCUUUGUGAGCCUCAGAAGGGAGUCAGGACCGACAGCCUCCUCCCUUUACCUACCUCACAACCAGGGUCCUGCAUCUACCCGCAGUCCAGAGAGUUGGAGUGGAGGUACACAUCUGACCAACACGCUCCUUCCUUCUCUUCCUCUCUCUCCCCUUCCCACUAUCCUCCUCCAGGCCUGGGAAAGAUGUAGGCUUUGCUUCUCUUUCUCCUACAUUUCAUCUCUGUCAAGAGCAGGGUUUUGCUGUCAUGGAUGGAAGGGUACUUUCUCUGCUAUGGGAUCCUCUGGGUUGAGUACCUGAUAUGUUAGAGGGCAAAAAACAAAAAUAUUUGGGAAACCGUCUCUCGGGAUCAUCGUCUGGCUUGUAAUGCUUUUAUGUUGCCUUAUCCCUGCUUUUCAUGCCAGGAAUUAUAUAUUGUUCUGUUUUUCUCUUCAUCAUUUUUAUAAUAUAUUCUCUUCCCCUGUCAGGCAGAUUUGCUGUCUCAGAUUGACUGGGCCAAAGGUCAUGGACUCUGAAAGGGGUUUCCAUAUGCUGAACUGAGGGGAAGAAGGAACUUUUGGCUUCCUCAUAUCAUCCUGCAUUCUUACUUGAUCAGCACUACAUUCUGUGAUUAUGAGCUAUUCAAGGUCAAACUGCAACAAGAGGAAAGUCGUCUCCUGGUUAGUCCUGGAUUUGAUUAGCGAUCCCACUCAUGGGUGGGUAAAGCCAGAGAGCGUUCCGUGUGCCCAAGCAUAGGCAUCACUUAAAAGCAAGAAGAAGAAAGAAGUCUGGAGCUUGGACCUUAACGACAUCCGCAUCCCACCCCUACAGAGGGGCAGACCCCGUGCUAUGGUGCAAGAGACAGCAGCAACUUGCCUUCCAACUUGAAGAAGAUAUCACAAUGUGUUCCUGAGCAUUGGAUUUCCAGAAACUUCACUAAGACGACAGUCUUCUGAAAGAUGUGUUAUAAAAGAGUUUUUGGCAUCUUGAAGCUUCUGCCAGAUUUAUUUUGGUAUCCUAUGGCCAGAGACAGUAGAACAUCACAGAGCACGAUGCAGCUUCUGGUCUUGCAAUUUCUGAUGACCCAGCUGCUUCAAGUCCAGGGGCUGCAGAGGCUGGACCACAGAUGGCGAUGUAGCAAUGUCAAGAAGACAGAAGACAAUGUGUCAUGCAUUCCACAAACCAUCAAGGAAAAAGUAAGUCGAGACCCAAAGCAGUUAGCUAAGAUCAUUCCACUACCAUUUGGUGGAGGAAGAUUGAGGCUCAGGCUCUCUGAGUCUUACUCUUUCUGCUGCACCAAAGUAGAAAUGCAAAGUAGGCAAAGGAGAGAGAAAGUGCCCGUUCCUGAAGAAGUGCUUCUCAGGUUUCAAACUGGAAAGGCUCAUCAGCAAAGACUCCUUGCCACAGAAGGUGACCAAAGAGUACAAAGCUGUCCGGCUCUUAACCACUCCACCAUCCCACUUCUCAUUGUGCUGUGUAAGUAAGCACACACAAACACAUCCACACACAAUGUGACUUUCACAUGCCAGUCACCGCGGUAAGGACUUUGGCAUGGUAUUUCACUGUGUCGCCAUUGUAAGUGAGGCAUAAUUUCAUUAUUUUUAUUUCUAUUUUUCCUAGCAAAAUUUUCCUAAUUUUAGAAAUACAAAUUUGAGAUCUAUUAAACUCUCUCUCAUCUCUCAUCUCAUAAAUGAGAUGGGUUCUAUAACUGGGUAGGUAAUUAGGCUUUUUUAAAGAGUUAAAGAGGACACUGCCCACAAGAAUAAAAAUCAAUGAGAGUAAAGACCUGACAAAGAAGAAACUUGUACGUCCAAAGUCCAUAGAUGAGAGUAAUUCAAGACCCUAGAAUAAUGAGGCCAUGGAGGCAGUUUCCAACAAGAUUUAGGAAUAAAUAGCUCUGCAAAAGGCUUUGCCAUAAACUUCAGAGAAAAUAAAUCUAUAAAUAAUUUCAUUUUCAUGCUUGAAAGUGUAAGUAUUUGGAAGUACAAGGUUGUCGAAUUUCUAUUAAAAAUCAGAUAUAGAUAACCUCAGAUGAUGAGUGAUCGUAAAACACAGCUUUGCAGUUCUGAACCAUGAUUGAAAACAAUCAUUGUUCUCUCCCUUUCUCUCUCUCUCUCUCUUUCUCUCUCUCUCUCUCUCUCUCACACACACACACACACACACACACUUGCACACUAACACACAAAAUGUAGUUUGCAUUUUUAUCCUAUUUUCCAAUAUUCAUAGGGUAAUCACUGGUCACAUUCCUGCAUCACCCUGUUUUGUGCUUUCGUUCUAUUCUAUUUUUUUUUAAGUUGAUUUAUUUAUGAGAGAUAGAGACAGCAUGAGUGGAGGAAGAGCAGGGGGAGGGGCAGAGAGAGAGGGAGAAGGAGGCUCCAGGCUCUGAGCUGUCAGCACAGAGCCCAACGUGGGGCUCGAACCCAAGAACUGUGAAAUCAUGACCUGAGCCGAAGUCGGACGCUUAACCAACUGAGCCACCCAGGCACCCCUAAUUUCUUUUCUUUAAAUAAAAGUCACAAAAGUUACGUUAAGGUAUUAUUUGGACACACAAAAGAGCAAUCUUUAAAAUGUCUACACAGACUUUGAGAAAUGCUAAACUAUGUGAGCACCUUUUGAGACAACAAAUCCCUUCCUACUAUGUGAGUUGCCUUCCUCCUACAUGCAAGGCAUUUAGGAGAGUGCAUGGCUCAUAGUAAAUGCUCUGCAAGCAUUUGUUGCUAUUGUUGUUGUUUUUUAUCCUCCCCAGCACCUCCUCCUCCUACUCCUCCUCUUCCUCUAAAACUUGCCUCACUGCAAUCUUCAAUAAUGGACUCUUGCAGCCAUCACCCUGCCUCUUCCUUGGCCACAGAUGGUUGAACCAGGAGUGGAAACCUGACUCGAGCCACUCAGAUUUCCUCUCCCAGGAAUUUAUUUGGUGAUUCCGCAUUGUCUCUGUUAGCAUCAAGCCGAGUGGAUAGAUAGGGGUCUGGGAAAGCCAUUUUACAAUAUGUGCACAAGUAAGUCAACCUGCUAAGUGAGAGGAAAAUGAAGGAGCUGAGAGAGAAAGAGAGCAGAAAUAUCUUGUGGACCCAUAGGAGGGGAGACAAAGAGAGUUAGAAUGCUGUGAAUUGGAAUGACUUUCCAUUUCUGGUUCCAGCUCUUUGUGAGCUGUGACUUCACUUCUUUCACUAGGUUGGUGUUACUUUCAACAUGUUUCCAUUGUUGCUUAAAUUAAUAUGAAUGGAUUUUGAUAAAUGGCAAAAGUGAUUGCUGAUUAUAACAAGAAUACACUUCAAAAUAAAAGGUGGCUAAGAAAAUUUGAGGAGAAGCCACAAGACCCACAUUCUAAUUCACUUAUUUUAGGAGAAAACACAAAAGUAAUUUUAGAUUGAAGUUGUUCUUAUAAUGUAUUUGAUAGGAAUGAUUCUACUUUGAGAGCCAUUGAGUAUACUCUAGUAGUUUGAGAUUUAGAUCUGUAUACUUUCUUAAUGGCUUUCUGGAACAUUUUUGGGGGGUAAGCAGUGCUACUGUAAUGCACAAAAUUAUAUCUUGGUGUACUGAAAGCAUUAAAGAGCUUCUUUUAUUAACCGACUUUCUACUAAGAAAUGACUGGGGUACUGGUCAAAAGACAGAAUUCUAACAAAGACUGCAAAUACCUGAUACUAUUGAUGCAACCGUGGGAAGUAUUAAUAUAAAUUUUAAAGCAAUAAGUUCUUCAGGGAAGCAUAUAUAAACUGGGGAAAAAAUAAAAUAUCUUCUGCUUCUUCUAGAGUUACUAAUAGUUUUUGGUGUCAGUACUGGUAAUUACAAACAAACCACGUGAGCCUGUCCCCAAGCAUGCCCAUCGCAGGUAUCCCAUUUCCUUGGAUUUUAUUUGUCUUACAAGUCAUCAUUUGCAUACACGGAGCUCUUCUCAACAAAUAUGCAUGAAUCCAAAAUGGACUAAGUGCUAUAUUUUCCUCAGAUUUUGUUAAAUGCCAUUGUCUGACUCACAAAUCCUUAGUCUGGUGUAGCUGAAUUCCCUGUCUCUUGUAAGAAUUCUUCUUAUGAAUGGUUUGGGAUUUGAAGUGUGAAAACAUAUACUUGUGCUAUGGCUAUAAAUGGUGAGACUGAUGUUUAUUAUGAAUUUACAAUAAAAAUAUUUUCCCAUUGCACGUGCAUGCACACACACACACACACACACACACACAGCAUCUUGAUUUACAUGCAAUUCUUCCAUGCUGAGGGCCAGGCUGUAAAAGUUCUUCUUUCCACCUCACCCUAAGUAAAGAUCUCCUAGCCUCCCUUUCUUCUACACAUGUGCACCUGCUCUGACAGUCCACCACCACCUCCUAUGCUUCUCCAACAUCCCCUUCCUGUAGCCUCUACCACCAACCUUUGGGAUCCCCUGGUCAGCCCUUCAUCCAGGCCUGCUGGAGACCUCUUCCCAAACUGUAGAAACUGGAUCAGUGACCUGAUGAAGGGUCUCCGCUCAUACUUCUGUGUAUUCAGGAAAGGAGAGAGGAAAGAGAAGUUACAGAUAUCUCAAGUUAGAAUUCUGAAUGUAUCUUCCAGUGGAAGCAAUAAUAGAAAUGAUAUUACAUGUGUAACAUAAUUGAUAUUAUUCUUCGGGUUUCUUUCAUUCAUUUACUUAUGCACCAAAAUGUUUUUUUGUUAUCUACUAUAUUUCAGGUACCACUUACGAGUCCAGGGAAAUGUCCAUAACAAAUAGAUAAAAUUAUGGGUUUUUUAUGGAUUGGUCUUAAUACAUAAACAUGAUGAAUAACAUUGAUCCUAUAGGAAAUCGUGCACUGAGUUCAUAAUAAUCUCACAGAAUGCAACCAUCCCAUCAGUCAGCUGAAGAAUUACUAUAUAUAUCUAUAUCUAUACAUGUAUAAAUACUAAUUUCUUAGUCAAAAUCUUAAAAGCCUAUGUAUUCAUUCAUAGACACAUAGCUAAAUAAAUAUGCAUGCUUAGUCUCCAUUUACUAUACCAUAGAAACUGGUUUCCAGACCUCGAAUCACUGAAAGUGAUUUCUUCUCAUUAUUCCCCAAAAUAUCACAUCAAAUUUCUAACAUAUAUUUUAAGUCUAAAAUAAAGUUCCAAAUCCAAAAAAUUGUUUAGGUUUCCACCUGGAUAAAGCAUAGCUGCUAAGGAUGUAUGCUUUGGAAUCAGACCUACUUCCAAAUCUUAGUACUUUUGUCACUCUGUGCAAGUUACAAAACUCUUAGCCCUUAAAUUUCAGAACUGUAAUGAGGAUAAUGGUACAUGUCAUAUAAGAUUAACAUGAGUAUUAAAUGAAAUUAAGCAGUGUAUACAUUAGGCCCACCAUGCCUAGUACAAGAUAAGUACUCAAAAACUUAUACUUAUUAAUAUAAAAUGGCUAUACUUCAUCUAUCUCAUGAGCCAAAGAAUUAGUUGAAGAAUUCGAAAAGAAUUAGCUGACUUCAAAGCCCUUGAGAAACAAUAGGCUACCAUGUCCUCUUCUGAUGAGAGUAUAUUUAGAAGGUGAAAGUACAACAAAUCACAUUUUGUAGACAGGUGUUCAAUUAUAUUUUUCUUUCUAUCUUUGUUUCUUUUGCUUUUAUCAUGCCCCAUGGUACGUGUUCAAAUAUUCCCAUCUACCAUGCUAAGGAAGCAACUAUAGUAAUUCCAUUAAUACAAAUACAUCAGCCUGGUAAGUCAUAUGAACACUCCAACCAAACUCCAAAGGAGCAACUGAAGGUGAUUUUUUAAAAUUACAUCUCUGAAUCCAUCUGACCAAACCUAGGGGGCAGAAAUGGAUCAAAUGAUGUAUGAACGGGCAGGUAACCGUUACCCAUAAAUAAUUUCCUUUCAAGACUUAGAAAUGACAUUGAUUGAGAAAUGACAUGCUAUUUCUCACAUGAGCUAUUAGCUAGACAUCUCUUUAACAUUCCUUUUUUCCGCCUAUCUCCCCAGGGGAGCAUUUUAAUAUACAAUGCUAGUCUGGAAUGGGCAUUUGUUCAGAAGGAGAAAUACAGUUACAAGUAGCUCUUCCUGAACAGCUUCUCCGGUGAGGAAACAGCUCAUAUGCCUUUGUCCCAGGCAUCCAUCCUCCAAUUAGGAUGCAUCCUCCAGUUAGCGGAGAAUUAAAACCAUCCUUUUCCCAGUAAUAAAAGUCCUUCUAAUCCCAAGUGGGAGGCGCAGGGGGAAAGGGGGGUUAAUUAAAAGUUAAAAGCCUCAGGCAGAAAGUAAGUCCACAUGACCACAUCGUUGAGAACUAUACCGUCUAAUUUUUUUUUAUGUUUAUUUAUUUUUGAGAAAGAAAGUCAGAGUGUGAGCAGGGGAGAGGCAGAGAGAGAGGGAGACGCAGAAUCCAAAGCAGGCUCCACGGUCAGCACAGAGCCUGAUGCAAGGCUUGAACUCACAGACUGUGAGAUCAUGACCUAAGCCAAAGUCGGAAGUUCUACUGAAUGAGCCACCCAGGUGCCCCGACAAGUAUGCCAUCUAAUCAAGCAAUGCAGGUGCUGGAGGUGAGGAUUCACCCAAAGAAGGAAACAUUGGCUUACAUGGGAAAACUUUCAGAUAAUAAAUAGAUAAUUCAAAGUUUUUCUGUUUUCUGGCCUUAAGUAUGAAAUGCAGAGCUGCUUCUUCACUAGAACCUAAAGAAUUCAUUAUCCUUGGGCUGUGACUCACACGUGUAAUUUUCUUUCCUUAUUUGCAUCUAUUCAACCAGAUGUGCAGGUCUUCUAGUGCUACUUUGGAAAUAAGAAUGAAAACAGGACCCCUGGGUGGCUCAGUCGGUUAAACGUCCAACUUUGGCCCAGGUCAUGAUCUCACAGUUUGGGAGUUCAAGGCCCACAUGAGGCUUUCUGCUGUCAGCACAGAGCCCACUUUGGAGCCUAUGACUCUCUCUCUGCCCCUCCCCGUGCUUUCACAUGCUCUCUCUCUCCCUCUCUCUUAAAAAUAAAUAAACAUUUAAGAAUUAAAACAAACAAGGCUAAUAAUAAUCAAGAGGUAGACAUAAAAUAAAUAUAACUGUUUUAUCUUGCCCUCAUUGUUUCUUUACAUCUUGUUUUUGAAGAAUCCAACUCCACGUAUGUAUCUUUGCAAAUGCUGUGCAUAGAUCAGUAAACUUUAUAUUGAAAAUACAUUGAAAUGGUCUCUAUAUAUCUAUCUGUCUCUCUCAUUAGACUAUAAGUUCCUAGUUACAGAAUCUAUGACUUAUACGUCUUUGUAGUAUGGCAUAGGAUAGUGUCUUGGAAAUUUUGCCUCAGUUUUUAACCUGUUUACAUUUAGAUAAGACCUAACAUGAAACAAACGUAGCCAAAUUCAAGGAUGAGUUUGAGUAGGCAUUAUUUGAAAUGAAGGCAGUUUGUGUCUGUCAAAUACUAAAGAGAACUUCUAGCUCUAAAACCGGAAAUAUUUGUAUGAACUUUUGACCUUUAAAAAUAUAUUCUUUUACAAAAACAAAGACGGCAUUGCAAAUUAGUGAGGA